rnacentral:misc_RNA from 1 species
GUUCAAAUUCAUGAUAUACUCAUGAAUUCACUGACAGGUGAUUAUACUCUAUGGUUUAUGUUGUUUUCAAUCAUCAUAUGUAAAUGAACUAGAUAUAGACAUGUGAAAGGAGGAGGAGUUUCUUUCUUCUUUUAAAUGUUCCAACACUAGCGCACAUCUCUUAUUAUAUCCUAUUUGGAUUGACAGGAGAUAUGAUAAUUAUCCUAGAUUGGUAGUGACUAGUGAGAUUUACUGCCUCUGAUUGUUCACUACAGUUUAGUAUAUGUUUGGCGCUUCAAAUGAGUUGUAGCACAAAAUUAAAUGUAGAAGAUAGUUAUAGGAUUUUGGGUUCCAUUUGUCCCACAUCUUUUGCAUUGUACAUCCACUGUCAUUUUCCUAUUUUCUGCACCAUUUACUUUAAGAGUUGAAGCCACAUCAUGCAAUAUUGGGAAAAAGAAAAAGAACAGAAAGCCAUUUGUGAAAGCUGCAUGGAGAUAUGUGUUUCCAUACCCAGUCAUGAGUCAUGGUUAUAUAUGUUUGUGAAGAACUGAAGAAAAUUCUUGAUAGUAGUACUAGCUUCUAUGCCAUAAAUUUAAAUCUUACUGUUGUGUUUCUUACGACAUAGUUGUUGCAGACCCAGCAGUGAGUCGGUGAACGUAACUGUUUCCCAUGCUGCUUUUACAUUACUUGUGUUAGGAUGAAUUGCCAUUGGCAUUCAGAUUUAUAUGUUUUUGC